CUUUGACUAACUGAAGGUCACAAAGCAGUAAAAUGUCUGAAGAUGAAGUACUGAACUCUAUCGUAACCUUUAGAUGGAAGAGGGAGGCCAACAAGGGUUACACUACUCAUGCAGACGUAAGGAUCUCAAAGUCUCAGCCGCCCACAAAGGAGCUGCCUGGUAGGUAAAGAGCAGUAAUGAGCAAUUAUUGUCUCCGUUUACUUUUUCUGUGCUUGGUUUCAUUUACCUAUCUCAGCCAAAGAAGUUAUUUCAAAAGCUUUAAUUGAGUUGAAUUCAAUUCUAUUUAUGUUUAUUUACAUAGUCACAAAAGACAAGAACUGUUACCUCAAACCACUUUAUAACAUUUCAGUAUUUAUUCUGUUCAAUCGUACAAUAUUAAAAGACAAAGUAACAAAGGAGAUUCAUAAUAUCAGGACUUUCACUGCCCUGUUACAUAAUUAGUUUGCAUGAUGUUUGGUGAAGAUUUGGUAGAAAUAUUACCACAGAAUACAAACGCCAAAAACAAAAAUAAGUUAUCAUAUUAUUAUUUGCACAAAGUAACAAAGAAUUCAAUCAUGCAUUCAUAUUGUUGUAUCAAAAACCUGUACAUAUUUAUGCUCAUUGUCAGGUUUCGUAGAUCGGACUCACGCGCAGACCACUAGUGUCUUCAAAAGGUGCAUUUAUUUACAGUGUUUCCUACAGUGGAAUUCAUAUAUACACAUAAUAGUGUCAAAGGAAAAAGGGGCCGGGGUUCCAGGGUCCAGGAGUGAAAGAGGCAGGAGUCCAGGAAGGGAAAGUUUCCAUUCAGUCCUAGCACAUCUCCUCUCCUUUAUCUCUCUUGCUCCCGUUCAG
ensembl:lncRNA